rnacentral:rRNA from 1 species
CCUACGGGUGGCAGCAGUGAGGAAUAUUGGUCAAUGGACGGAAGUCUGAACCAGCCAUGCCGCGUGCAGGAAGACGGCUCUAUGAGUUGUAAACUGCUUUUGUACAAGGGUAAACCUGAAUACGUGUAUUCAGCUGAAAGUACUGUACGAAUAAGGAUCGGCUAACUCCGUGCCAGCAGCCGCGGUAAUACGGAGGAUCCAAGCGUUAUCCGGAUUUAUUGGGUUUAAAGGGUGCGUAGGCGGGUUGAUAAGUUAGAGGUGAAAUGUCCGAGCUUAACUCGUGAACUGCCUCUAAUACUGUUGGUCUAGAGAGUAGAUGCGGUAGGCGGAAUGUAUGGUGUAGCGGUGAAAUGCUUAGAGAUCAUACAGAACACCGAUUGCGAAGGCAGCUUACCAAUCUAUAUCUGACGUUGAGGCACGAAAGCGUGGGGAGCAAACAGGAUUAGUUACCCGAGUAGUC